rnacentral:rRNA from 1 species
UACAGAGGUGCCGAGCGUUAGGCGGAAUCACUGGGCUUAAAGCGUGUGUAGGCGGACGUCUAAGUACCUUGUGAAAUCCCACGGCUCACCCGUGGAACUGCUGGGUAUACUGGGCGUCUUGAGCCACCUAGGGGCCAGCGGAACAAAUGGUGGAGCGGUGAAAUGCGUAGAUAUCAGGAGGAACACCUGUGGCGAAAGCGGCGCACUGGACCACAACUGACGCUGAGGCGCGAAAGCUAGGGGAGCAAACAGG